rnacentral:rRNA from 1 species
AUGAAAAUUAGUGGAUGGAAAGAAAAACUGUUGUCUGCCGGUGGAAAGGGAAUUUUGCUAAAAUCUGUUGUUCAAGCUAUCCCAACUUAUGCCAUGUCCGUCUUUAAAAUUCCUAAAAAAAUUUGUAAAGGAAUCAUUGAGCGAUGUCGCAAUUUUGGUGGGGCAACGACGACAACCAUAAAAGGAUGCAUUGGAUGGCAUGGUGGAAGAUGUGUGUUCCCAAAGAUCAAGGAGGGAUGGGUUUUCGUGAUAUACACUGCUUUAAUCUAG